rnacentral:snRNA from 1 species
UCACUCUGGCUUCUCUUCAACGUAUGAUUCUUUCGCCUUUUACUAUUGAAUUCCGUGGAGAGGAGCAGUUCAAUGACUCUUGAUCAUUUUUCGAUAUCCGACUUUGGUCGGUUU